AUGAUCUCGGCUCCUCACCCUUUGCUUGAGAAGCCCAUGGUAACUCGCUUCAACUCGUUGGUCCCCAAGGGCUUCAUUCUUUAAAUCCCAUUCGAACAUGUACAGGAGACAUUCCUGUAGCCUACUUAGGAAACUAUUUCUUGAGGAACAGUCAUCACAUUUCUGAAAAAUUAUGGUGGCAGCUGAUCCAAAAUCUUGGCCUUGAACUCCAGCCAAUGUUUUCUUGACUCCAAAGUGUCCUGCCAAAACAAAGUAAUCGCACAGCUGACAGAACCUCUCUUGUUACCUCUUAGGAAUGACCAUAAUUUACAGCCUGCACUGCCAACGGGGGUCUCCCAGUGAACAUACAGCUACUCUGGGUGCGCUUCGGAACAUUGGCUCUGCUCUUCCGAUUAACCAGAAGUCAUGACAGUGGUCUAAUAAUUGACAGAUGCUUGUUGUUAGAGGUGGAGAACAUGAAGAGGAUUCUCACGCCAAGUUUCUCAGAGUUGGGCUAAAGUGAAGCUGAUGUGGCCGGAGGCUGGGUCUGUGGAUGUGGAGUUUCAGGUGCUGAGGUCAGUAUACCUGGAGGCCGGGGUUCUGUUAUAGGAGUUAUGCUCAGAAGAGGUUAUAGAUCAAACAGAGGGCAUUUUGAGGGAAGCAAGAAGAUUGGUGGGGCAACUUAUACAAUUCCAUGCUAUUCCUCAUGCAGUUGCCUCAAGGAGCCCCUGAAAACCCUGAGAAUGUUCUGACUGGAGAGGAGAUGGCACAGGAACAUGGCAGCUGUCGUUAGCUGCUCCGAUUCUUUAUGAACUAGUACAUAGAAGCUUCAGGGUAAUAGGCUUUGAUUCAACAUCAGGACUUCCUCAUAGGUAAAGCUGUCCUGGAUGGAUGGGGGUAUAUGAUGAAGCAGUGGGAUAACAACAUGAGGCAGUAUUGGGUUCAUUUAUUUGCUCCUUCAACCCUUCAUUUAUUCUGCAAAUAUUUAUUCAUUAAUGAAUAGACAACAUUACCACAUAGACAAUGAGUUCUACAAAGCAGCUCAUCACUGCACUACUUAGAGUGCUAACACUAUAUUAAUGUCUGUUAACUGAAUUGAAGAAUACACGAAUGAGCAGAUGGUGUGAUCACUGGGCUGGGUACUAGAGAUGGCCAUAGGAGCCUCACGGAGCUCACACAUCUCAAAAACCAAGGUAACUGAUUGAACAGUGGUGCUGCCUUGUACACAGUGCUCUGAUGGAUGUAUGCACAAGUCGCUUUGAAAGGGCAGAGGAGUGGUACUGGCAGGAAGUGCU